AUGAUAUAAUCUCCCACGAGCCUAGUUCUUAUUUUAGCGCCUGCAUCAAAACCCCCACCCCCACAGCAGCGCGGUCGCGGUGGAGAUGCUCUUGCACCGCCUUUCACCAAAAUUUUAACCAAUACACCGCUGCCUUUCACCAAAACCAGACGGCCAAACCUCAACCAAUGGUUUGGUUUACAGAAAGAAAUUCUCCUUUUAAUAUGAGAAUACGACUCACUAUCUUCUCCAGAGCACUAUUGUUGGCGUGAGAGCUAAAAUCCAGAAAAAACAAAGGGAUUUCUCUGAGAUUUAGGCACGAAUCGCCACACCACCACGAGCAAUUCAUGAACUCACCAUUGCUGCAGCCACAUAGGGGUGUUGAAGAAAUGGUAUAAUUGUCUGUGUAAAUUAGAGGAGGGAUAUUGAUCAUAGGAAAUAAGGUAUCAGAGGCUUUCUUUCAGUUAUAGUAUGUUUUACUGAAGGUGAACAUGAAAUUUAUUAGGUGCCCAUAUAAACACGGGCUGUCAGAUUACUUAUAGGGUGCGUUUACUUUGAUGGAUAAAUUUAUUCAUGAAAAAUGAUGGAUAAUAAAAAUUUAUGCCUUGAAAUGUCUCUUUUAUUUUCCAACAUUUAACACAAAAGAGAUGUUCCCCAUUUUUUCUUCCUUAUUUUCACUUCAAGUAUGAAUAAUAUUAUCCACUCAAAAAUAGAGGGAUAAUAUUAUCCAUCAUUGAAGUGAAAAUAAGAAAGAAAAAAUUGUGAAUAUUUCUUGUGUCAAAUGUUGGAAAAGAAAAGAGAUAUUUUAAGGCAUAAUUUUUUGUUAUCCUUCAUUUUCCAUUGAUAAAUUUAUCCAUCAAGGUAAACGCAGCCAUAUAGGAUACCAAAAAUUUAAAUAGCUUUGCUAUCUGGUCUCAUAAGCCAUACCAAAUAAGGUUUAAAGAUUAUAUUUUUAUUUCAUUCACAACACACUCAAUUAUUUUAUUAAAAUUCAUGUCAUUUUGAAGGGACGUGAAAUUUGGUGAUGAAGAGAGUAGUAGUAUUAUUUAUACUAUUAUAAAUAUAAUUCAAAUUUAGAAUUUAUGGCACCAUCCAAAUGUUAAAAUUCAUACCACUUAAUAAAAUUUCGCUGUCAAACCAAAUUCAAUUUGAUUGGAGUUUAAAUAUGGGAAAUUUUAAUCAUGAAAAUUUAUGUAUUUUGGCACCAAUUUUAUAGUAAAUGGAAAAAAAUGACUAUAAUGUUUAGCUUUACAAUCAAUUAACCCUGUAAUACUAUAAUGAAGUAUUUCAUUAUUUUGUAAAUAAUACAUCAAUUAAAAAUUAGUAAGUAAAUAAUUAAAAUCUUUAUGUGACAAGGAUGAUGAGACAGAGAAUAUAAGAUAAAAUAAAAUGAGUAUUUGUAAUUUUACGAAAACGGUGUUGUGGAAAAGUAAGGUGGUGAUGAGUGGGGGUCACUUAACAGGGAAGACGCCAGGGAUAUAUAAUAAGGCAUCAGUCUGGAUUCCAUGUCGUUAUUAUUUAUAUUAAAAAAAGGAAAGCGAUAUAUAUAAUGUCGAAAGUUGAAGAAACGGUGGAGCAGAAGUGGUUGAGUUUGAAGCCGAUGGCGGCGGAAUCAGCAACGCGGCCUUACCCGACCAAGAUCUUCGGCUGCAGAUUCUGCGACCGCAUAUUCUACAGCUCGCAAGCAUUAGGCGGCCACCAGAAUGCUCACAAAAGGGAGAGGGGUUUCGUCAGAUAUUUUCAACCCAAAUCUCUCGGGGUCCAACCCCACGCCCACCUCCACAAACCGCCCGCUAGAGCCACGCCCGUCCUCGCCUCUAUGUGGCCGGGAAUUUAUAGAGCCGUCGAUCACCGCCACACUCCGUCGACUUCCACUUUGGAGAUGCUUGAUCUCAAUCUUAAACUGUAAAUAAUUAGUACUCCAAUGUUGGAACAUAAUGGAUGUGGCUUCAGUGAUUCAAGUAUUUACAACUUCAUUUAUCAAGUGUGUGUGUUAUUAGCAUUUAUCAGUGAUGAACAUUUUCUGUUCAUCAACAGAUCGAUGAUUUAAUCAAUACUGUUGAGAUCUAUUUGCAGUCAGAAAUAUAAAAUGUUUCAGCUUUCAUCUCCUUAAAAA